rnacentral:rRNA from 1 species
UACGUAGGGGGCAAGCGUUGUCCGGAGUUACUGGGCGUAAAGCGCACGCAGGCGGUCUCUUAAGUUUGGAGUGACAGUUGGUGGCUUAACUGCCAAAGUGCUUCGAAAACUGAGAGACUUGAGGGCUUCAGAGGGACACGGAAUUCCGGGUGGAGUGGUGAAAUGCGUAGAGAUCCGGAGGAACACCAAAGGCGAAGGCAGUGUCCUGGGGAGUACCUGACGCUCAGGUGCGAAAGCCAGGGGAGCGAAACGGG